rnacentral:rRNA from 1 species
CGGGUGGCAGCAGUGGGGAAUUUUGGACAAUGGGCGCAAGCCUGAUCCAGCAAUGCCGCGUGCAGGAUGAAGGCCUUCGGGUUGUAAACUGCUUUUGUACGGAGCGAAAAGGUCUGCCCUAAUACGGUGGGCUCAUGACGGUACCGUAAGAAUAAGCACCGGCUAACUACGUGCCAGCAGCCGCGGUAAUACGUAGGGUGCGAGCGUUAAUCGGAAUUACUGGGCGUAAAGCGUGCGCAGGCGGUUAUAUAAGACAGAUGUGAAAUCCCCGGGCUCAACCUGGGCACUGCAUUUGUGACUGUAUAGCUAGAGUACGGUAGAGGGGGAUGGAAUUCCGCGUGUAGCAGUGAAAUGCGUAGAUAUGCGGAGGAACACCGAUGGCGAAGGCAAUCCCCUGGACCUGUACUGACGCUCAUGCACGAAAGCGUGGGGAGCAAACAGGAUUAGAUACCCCAGU